rnacentral:misc_RNA from 1 species
GUAGGAGCCGGCUUGCUGGCGAGGCGAGCACCGCGGUGUGACAGCUUCACCUCGGUGAUGCAAUCGCCAGCAAGCCGGCUCCUAC